rnacentral:rRNA from 1 species
CUAAAACGUCCGUAGCCGGUCUGAUACAUUCGUGGGUAAAUCAACCAGCUUAACUGGUUGAAUUCUGCGAGGACGGUCAGACUUGGGACCGGGAGAGGUGUGGGGUACGCUCAGGGUAGGGGUAAAAUCCUGUCAUCCUGAGCGGACCACCUGUUGCGAAGGCGCCACACUAGAACGGAUCCGACGGUCAGGGACGAAGCCUAGGGGCACGAACCGGAUUAGAUACCCGGGUAGUCCUAGGUGUAAACGCUGUGGACUUGAUGUUGGGGGUGCUCCGAGCACUCUCAGUGUCGAAGCGAAGGUGAUAAGUCCACUGCCUGGGAAGUACGGUCGCAAGGCUGAAACUUAAAGGAAUUGGCGG